rnacentral:rRNA from 1 species
CGAAACCCACCACAAGAUGAGAUUUCUUUUAAGGGUCGUGGGAGAUGACCACGUUGAUAGGCUAUAGAUGUAAAGGCAGUAAUGUCAUAGUCGAGUAGUACUAAUAACCCGUAAGCUUAUGUAC